GACGAACGCUGGCGGCGUGCCUAAUACAUGCAAGUAGAACGCUGAAGGAGGAGCUUGCUUCUCUGGAUGAGUUGCGAACGGGUGAGUAACGCGUAGGUAACCUGCCUGGUAGCGGGGGAUAACUAUUGGAAACGAUAGCUAAUACCGCAUAAGAGUAGAUGUUGCAUGACAUUUGCUUAAAAGGUGCACUUGCAUCACUACCAGAUGGACCUGCGUUGUAUUAGCUAGUUGGUGAGGUAACGGCUCACCAAGGCAACGAUACAUAGCCGACCUGAGAGGGUGAUCGGCCACGCUGGGACUGAGACACGGCCCAGCAUCCUACGGGAGGCAGCAGUAGGGAAUCUUCGGCAAUAGACGGAAGUCUGACCGAGCAACGCCGCGUGAGUGCAGAAGGUUUUCGGAUCGUAAAGCUCUGUUGUAAGAGAAGAACGAGUGUGAGAGUGGAAAGUUCACACUGUGACGGUAUCUUACCAGAAAGGGACGGCUAACUACGUG
rnacentral:rRNA from 1 species